rnacentral:rRNA from 1 species
UGCGCAGGCGGUGCGUUAAGUCGGAUGUGAAAUCUCACAGCCUAACUGUGAGCGGUCAUUCGAAACUAGCGCGCUAGAGGACUGGAGAGGAGACUGGAAUAGUCGGUGUAGCGGUGAAAUGCGUAGAGAUCGACUAGAACACCAGUGGCGAAGGCGGGUCUCUGGACAGUUCCGGACGCUCAGGCACGAAAGCCAGGGGAGCAAACG